rnacentral:rRNA from 1 species
CCUACGGGAGGCAGCAGUGGGGAAUAUUGGACAAUGGGGGGAACCCUGAUCCAGCGACGCCGCGUGAGUGAAGAAGUAUUUCGGUAUGUAAAGCUCUAUCAGCAGGGAAGAAAGAAAUGACGGUACCUGACUAAGAAGCCCCGGCUAACUACGGGCCAGCAGCCGCGGUAAUACGUAGGGGGCAAGCGUUAUCCGGAUUUACUGGGUGUAAAGGGAGCGUAGACGGCGAUGCAAGUCUGAAGUGAAAGGCGGGGGCCCAACCUCCGGACUGCUUUGGAAACUGUAUGGCUGGAGUGCAGGAGAGGUAAGUGGAAUUCCUAGUGUAGCGGUGAAAUGCGUAGAGAUUAGGAGGAACACCAGUGGCGAAGGCGGCUUACUGGACUGUAACUGACGUUGAGGCUCGAAAGCGUGGGGAGCAAACAGGAUUAGAUACCCUUGUAGUC